UGCCUCUGUGUCAGUCAGCGCGGUAUUUCUGAGUUAUUUAUUUUGGUAGGAACCAAAGUUCUCUAAGGCGGAACCUUUGUUUUUGUAUCGCCCGUUUCCGUCAGGACAUACUUUAGCGUAACACUCAUCAAAAAAGUCCGCUGAUUUAGUACAUGUUUUUCAGUGCUGAUGCAUCUGCAAAAUAGCUCUUAGCAUCAAGAUAAACAAUCCUACAGAGUAAUGCCAAGCUACACAACUUUCCUCUUGCAAUGCAGCUACUAAGGUAUGUUUUGCUGACGUUUUUUGUGUGUGUUUUCUGUUCUUGUUUGUAUUAAAUUGUUUUUAUACAGCUAAGGGCUAACACCGUUAAGGGCUAACACAUGUUGGGCUUAGUUAGAUUGGUCUUUGUGUUUUGUUGUAUUAUAUGUAACCAAAGUGUAUUGUGUAUACAGUAGCCUAAUUGAAAGUGACGACAUUACCAGGACAAUGUUGGGAUAUUACUGUAUGGCUUGUUAUUAUUUUGACUAGUGAUUAUUGUAUUUGUGUAUUAUGUUUUUUGAUUACAGUUUUCACGGUCUGGAUGAACCAAAUAAAUCCUGCCAGUAAACAAAAAGGAAACUCGUUGCUGUCGUUUGUACUGAGGGAAUUAUAGUGAAAACUUAGCUGCUCACGAAGACAGCACCAAAGAGCAGUGAAUGACAACAGUAAGGCAAGUAAGAUGUCCCGAAAUGGCGAAGAGCACACAAUUGCAGAUGUACAUUUCCCAGACAUGGAGUCACACGCACCUGACAAGACAGAGUGUGUGCACGAGCACAGCUCAACCGUGCAGCCACAAGCGACUGAAGGCAUCAUAGUGGACAACCCCGCUUCCUCAGAAGAGUCACCAUUAGGCCAAAGAGUCCGCAGAAUGACGGAAAAGGGUCAAGAACAGCAUGAUGAGCAAGUAAUAAAGGUUGCACAUCGGUUCAGUGUGUGCUAUGAGAAGUGGAAGGAUGCCACUAAAGAAGCCAAGCAAGCGCUGAGUGGAAAGUGCUCAGACGACCUGCUAGAUGGACAAAUUACUAAAGUACGCAAUACCUCUAGGAGUCUAAAUGACGUUUAUGACGAUUGGAAACGCCUUGAGGUUCCUGACCUUAACACACGUCGCAAAAUCGACACCUGUGAAACAGUAACAAAGAAGAUGGUUAAGGAUGCAAUGGACCUUAUAGAUGCAAGGGAGGAAGCUACAGCCCAUAGGCAUACUACAAGUCAAAGACAUGAAGAACAUCGAGUCAUUGAAGAGGUAAUGUCUGUAGCCUCAGGAAGGACAGGCACUAGCUCUCGCCACACUAAGUGCUCCUCUGCAAGCAGGAAGAGUGCAGCUGCUGAGGUUGCUGCCAACAAAGCCACCUUAGAAGUACAGCUGGAGCAAGAGCAUUAUAUUAAAGAGCUUCAGAGACUGGAAGUUGAAGCCGCUCAGCUAAAAGCCAAACAAGAGGCUGAAAAUGCAGAGAGACAAAGAGUGCUAGAAGCCAAGCGCAGAGAACUAGAUCGAUUGGAGACUAUUAAGAAGCUAAAGGCUGCUGAGGCACGACAGCAAGUAUAUGACCAGAGUAUACAUUCAUGUCCGGCAACUAAGGGCGACGGCUCAGAUGAAGAAAUAAAUGUUCUUCUCCAUCGUGUCUCUGUGAAGAAAGAAGAAGUCAAGCCUCAAACUAGCCCACUGCGGCACCAUUCUACACCACCAGCUGUAGCACAAGCAAGGCAAGAAAACAAAUAUGAAGAUGGCACAACAGCUCUCGUCAAAGCGCUCGCAGAAGCCAUCAGUGCGAGUCGCAUUCCUCUACCUGAACCUACAGUGUUCAGUGGUGACCCACUCCGAUUCAACGACUGGAAAGUGUCCUUUCAGACGCUCGUUGACAGGAAGAACAUACCAGCUGAAGAGAAGAUAUAUUAUCUACGCAAGUAUGUGGGUGGAUCUGCUAAAAGGGCCAUAGAGAGCUACUUUUUACUUGGCACAGAGCCAGCAUAUUAUGCAGCAUGGGACAUCCUAGAAGAGCGAUACGGCAAUCCAUUCCUCAUCGCCAAGGCCUUCAGAGAGAAGCUCGACGCGUGGCCCAAGAUAAGCUCCAAAGGCAGUAUGGAACUUCAAGAACUCGCCGACUUCCUGCGCUGCUGUGAGGCAGCCAUGUCUCAGAUCAGAGGUCUUGAAAUACUUAAUGAUUGCAACAAGAACCAGAAAAUUCUCUCUAAACUCCCAGACUGGGUGACUUCAAGGUGGAAUAGGAAAGUCAUAGAAGCAGAAGAAGACACUCGCAUGUUCCCGAGCUUCAGCCAGUUUGUCAAGUUUCUCACACGUGAAGCUAAAAUCGCUUGCAGCCCAAUAACAUCUCUUCAUGCUCUUAAGCCAAGUGAAAGGAUUCCAGACAAGUGUGUAAAGAGCGGAGGUCCUGGAGCAAAGGUGUUAGCAACCACCUCAGAUGAGAAAGCCGUCAUCACAAGCUGUGUCUUCUGUGAGAAGGCAGGACACAGUCUACAAAGGUGUUACAAGUUUAUGCAAGGGACAAUCUUGGAGCGAAUCAAGUUUGUUCAAGAAAAUAAAUUGUGUUUUGGCUGUCUCAAAUUUGGCCACCGAUCUAGAGAUUGUAGAGAAAGAGACAGCUGCGACACCUGUGAGAGAAGACACCCAACUUGUCUUCAUGACGAUCGCACCAAGGAAGAAAGGAUGUCUACAAGAUCUGACAGAGCAAGGUACAGUGACAAAGACAAAGAAGAGUACAAAGAAAGGAAGAAUGAACAGUCACAAGACCAGUCAGAGAGACCAUCACGUGAGGCGACGGCACUUAGAGUCAUCCAGAAUGUUGGAGACACGCAUACCUCCACAAUAAUUCCAGUGUGGGUGUCAUCUACAAGUGUACCAAGUCGUGAAGUUCUGGUGUACGCACUCCUUGAUACACAAAGUGACACAACCUUUAUCCUCGACGAGACAGCGAAGGCUCUCAAUGCUAGGAGUGAACCAGUUCAGCUAAACCUCUCCACGUUGGCUUCAAGAAACACAAUCGUGUCCUGUCGGAAGCUAGCUGGUCUACAAGUUAGAGGUUUUUAUUCAGACAAGAUAAUCACUCUUCCAGUGACUUACUCAAGAGAGUUUAUCCCUGCAAACAGAGACCAUAUUCCCACACCAGAUACGGCGAAAGCAUGGCCUCAUCUUGAACACAUUGCAGAUGAGAUCGCUCCUCAGCAAAGCUGUGAUGUCGGCCUGUUAAUUGGCUACAACUGUGCCCAAGCCCUCGUUCCAAGACAAGUGGUGCCUGGUGAGGAACACCAGCCGUUUGCACAAAAGACAGACUUGGGCUGGAGUGUAGUGGGAUAUGGCAACCCGUGUCUCAACUAUGGAGAUGCAAUUGGAAUAAGUCACCAAGUCAUGGUGAAGCAAGUGAUGCCAGGUCUACCGUCCUCUUCAGACCUCACAAAGGAAGUGCACUAUGUCUGUAGGACACAGAUCAAAGAAGUUCUCUUACCUGCAGAUGUCAUCAAGAUGCUGGAGUCUGACUUCGUUGAAAGAGAGUCGGAAACCAGCCCCAUCUCUCAAGAAGAUCUAAGGUUCCUGUCAAAAAUGGAAAAGAGCAUCAAGUUAAAGAGCGACGGUCAUUACGAAAUGCCGCUGCCAUUCAAGAAAGAAAGACCUAACUUACCUGAUAAUAAGAUCUGUGCUAUCCAUCGUCUCAGGUGCCUAGAAAGAAGGCUGAGAAGAAACGACCAGUACUACAAAGACUACAAGACCUUCAUGGAUGAGACCAUAAGUCGCGGAGAUGCAGAAAGGGUCCCGGAGGAAGACAUCCACAAAGCUCCUGCUUGGUACAUUCCGCAUCAUGGGGUGUAUCAUCCACAAAAGCCUGGGAAGAUACGUGUUGUCUUCGAUUGCUCCGCCAAGUACCAAGGAACGUCCUUGAACGACCACCUCCUGACGGGUCCUGAGUUGACAAACACCUUGGUGGGAGUUCUGUAUCGCUUCCGAAGAGGUCCUGUGGCAAUCAUGUGUGACAUCGAACGCAUGUUUCACCAGUUCCAUGUUAAGGCAGAAGACCAAGAUUACCUGCGGUUCCUUUGGUGGGACAAUGGAGAUCUCGAAAGCCAACCUUCCAUCUAUCGGAUGAAAGUCCACUUGUUUGGUGCAGCAUCGUCACCUGGCUGUGCCAACUAUGGGCUGAAGCAUGUCGCUGCUGAAGGACAAGGAAACUUUAGUGACGACACCAUAAAGUUCAUUCAACGGAACUUCUACGUGGAUGAUGGAUUGUCAAGUGUAGCAUCCGAAGACCAAGCGAUCCAACUGGUGAAAGAAGCAAGAGAACUUUGCAGCACAGGCAAACUCCGGCUGCAUAAGUUUAUCUCUAACAGCAAGAAGGUCCUAGACGCAAUCCCAAAAGAAGAAUGUGCUGCAGCUGCCAAAGACAAGGACAUGGCACUGAGUGAACUGCACAUGGAAAGAGCACUCGGUGUGCAGUGGUGCGUGGAUUCUGAUGAGUUCCAGUUCAGAGUAAUCGUCAAGGAGAAUCCACUUACUUGAAGAGGAGUCCUGUCCACAGUCGCUUCAGUCUACGACCCUCUUGGAUUUGUGGCACCGUUCAUCUUGUUGGGAAAGCAGAUCCUGCAGCAGAUGUGUCGUGACAAGCUCAGUUGGGAUGACACCUUACCUGAUGACCUACGACCUCUGUGGGAAAGCUGGCUUCAAGACCUGCGAAAUCUAGCCGAGGUGAAGAUUCCAAGAUGCUACGUUCCAUCAAGCUUCAAGGUCCAACACUACGAACUCCACCAUUUCGCCGAUGCCAGUGAGUCAGGCUAUGGAGAGUGCUCGUACCUCAGAGCAGUGAGUACGUCAAGUGAAGUCCACUGUUCCUUUGUAAUGGGAAAGUCGAGAGUCACUCCUACUAAGGUCACAACCAUACCAAGACUCGAGCUGUCAGCAGCAGUGGUAGCUGUCCGCACCAGUGACAUGCUCAAGAAAGAACUGGAAAUAGAAUGCCUACAAGAAGUCUUCUGGACUGAUUCAAGAGUGGUCCUUGGUUACAUCAAUAAUGAAGCCAGAAGAUUUCACGUGUUUGUGGCAAAUCGUGUGGAACGCAUCAAGCAAAGCACAGAGUCUACACAAUGGAAGUAUGUGGCUUCAGAAGAUAAUCCAGCAGACUACGCCUCAAGAGGUCUCACAGCAGAGCAACUGGUAUCCUCUAACUGGUUCACAGGCCCAGACUUUCUUUGGCAGAAGGAGUUACCAAGUGGAGAUGUCAAGGUGGGAGAGAUCACAUAUGACGAUCCUGAGCUUAAGAAGGUCCAGGUUCUCGACACCCAGGCGAAAGAAGUCAAGUCGCUGCUAGAUCGCCUACACAAGUUUUCAGACUGGUCUAAAAUGGUGAAAGCUAUCGCCAGACUCCAGCGCCAUGUGAAAGAAAUUAAAGGGCUUCAGCCAAAGUCCUGUGAAGCCUGCAGUUUGGAGGAAAGGAGAGAAGCGGAGUUGACAAUAAUCAAGAUGGUUCAAGAAGCAACCUUCUCACAAGAUAUACAGUUACUCCAAAGUGACAAGGAGACGCCAGUCAAGGGCAAAGCCAAUAAGUUGCACCGGUUAAGUCCAUUCCUGGAUGACCAAGGUGUCCUCAGAGUUGGAGGCCGCUUAACUCAUGCUGCCCUACAUCCACAGGUGAAGCAUCCAGCGGUCCUUCCAAAGGACAGUCAUGUGUCAAAUUUACUUGUCAAGCACUAUCAUGAAAGAGUGUACCAUCAAGGACGAGGAAUGACCAUGAAUGCGCUCCGAUCUAAUGGCAUAUGGAUACUGGGCUGCAGCAAGGCUGUAUCAUCCCAUAUCUACAAGUGCACUAAGUGCAGGAAGUUCAGAAGAUGCACUGAACAGCAGAAAAUGUCAGACCUUCCAGAGGACAGAAUGGAAACAGCUCCUCCAUUCACCUACUGCGGUAUGGACUGUUUUGGACCAUUUUACGUAAAGGAAGGAAGGAAAGAGCUAAAGCGUUAUGGAUUGUUACUUACCUGCAUGUGUUCCAGAGCGGUUCACGUUGAGAUGCUUGACGAUAUGACCACGGAUGCCUUCAUUAACGCAUUGCGUUCAUUCAUCGCCAUUCGUGGAAAGGUACGUCAGAUAAGAAGUGAUCAAGGAACAAACUUCGUCGGAGCAAGACGAGAGUUUGCUGAAGCAUUGAAAGAAAUGGAUCAGGAAGAGCUCAAGCAGCUUGGAUGUGAGUUCAUCAUGAACACCCCAGCUUCAAGUCAUAUGGGUGGCGUCUGGGAAAGACAAAUUCGCACCAUAAGAAGUGUCUUGACGUCCAUUCUAGAACAGUCAGCUACGCAGCUUGACUGCUCCUCUCUAAGAACGUUCCUGUAUGAAGUCAUGGCAAUAGUGAACAGUAGACCUCUGAGCACUGAUUGUCUAAAUGAUUCAUCCAGUCCAGAGCCCCUGACACCAAACCACAUUUUGACCAUGAAGUCCACGAUACUCGCUCCACCUCCUGGGAAGUUCGUCAAGGAAGAUCUAUACCUACGCAAGAGAUGGCGUCGAGUUCAAUUCUUAUCCAACCACUUUUGGACAAGAUGGAAGAAGGAGUACCUCCUGAGCCUCCAACAGAGACAGAAGUGGACCAAAGAUCGCAGGAAUGCAAAGGUCGGCGAUGUUGUACUCCUGCAAGAUGAUACUACACCACGUAACCAGUGGAGGAUGGCAAAGGUUAUCGAAGUGUACCCAGGAAAGGAUGGGAAGGUGCGAAGACUCAAGUUGCUCAUCAGCGACUCAACCCUUGAUGAGAAAGGAAAGCGUAUCUCCAAACCUGUCCACCUGGAAAGGCCCAUCCAUAAGACGGUGACGCUGAUGGAAGCAGACUGAAGACUCCGACCUCUCUCUUUCUUUUCCUCCCCUCUCUCUCUCUAUCUGUCUCACUACAGGUGCAGUCAUGGUGAUCGUUCUCUGGGGAAGCCAAGGACUGAAGUUUAGUUUUUUUGUUUAUCCUUUCUACGCAGUAUGUUGUCUCUCAAUAGUUGAAGAAAAUCAUAUACAUGUGAUAUGUUUUGGUGGGAGUGUAACUGCCUCUGUGUCAGUCAGCGCGGUAUUUCUGAGUUAUUUAUUUUGGUAGGAACCAAGGUUCUCUAAGGCGGAACCUUUGUUUUUGUAUCGCCCGUUUCCGUCAGGACAUACUUUAGCGUAACACUCAUCAAAAAAGUCCGCUGAUUUAGUACAUGUUUUUCAGUGCUGAUGCAUCUGCAAAAUAGCUCUUAGCAUCAAGAUAAACAAUCCUACAGAGUAAUGCCAAGCUACACAACUUUCCUCUUGCAAUGCAGCUACUAAGUUUUCACGGUCUGGAUGAACCAAAUAAAUCCUGCCAGUAAACAAAAAGGAAACUCGUUGCUGUCGUUUGUACUGAGGGAAUUAUAGCUGUUAUACUCUAUAUCAGCACUGGAAUGCCUCUUGUCCAAUCAAAUUACUUGGUCGGAAGGAACUGACUUGGAUAAUUUGUAAUAAUCUUCAUCUUCUGCCUCAACUUCUUGUAGUAGAGCUUCUUGGCCUCUUGUGGCACAAAGAACUGCAGCAUUUCUUGGAGAGUGCAUUCAGAUUCCAUAUAUAAAUAGUUAAAAAAAAAAAAAAUCAGGUAUACAGGACCAUGCGGAGGGCCGAUCCAAUGUGUUGGCUGAGCUACAGCCUUGACAACCUGAUAGUGCUUAAUUUCAUAAUGCAUUUGAUGGUGUUGCCUUUGAUUCACGAAUUCUCCAUUCAGCCCACUGCACGCAUUCUCCUUCAUCUUCUGCAAGACACAAAUGCAAACAUAAGAAAUGAAUAAGAGAAAUCACAACACUUAAGAUUUAUCUGCCAGUUUACGUCUACCCGCCUGUCCAAACAACAGUGGCGGUUGUCAUAUUAAAUCUAGGCACUAAGGCCACAUACAGCUGAUGCUCAUGAAGUAAGGCAGAUAAGAAACUGAUAACUACUGAUUUCUCCUUUCCUGGCACAGUCCUUAACAUAUGUAAUGAGGCUAAAAACGUAUAACAUUACAUAACUGACGACCAGUCUAAUGACCGUGAAAUUUGCAGGCAGUAUCGUAUGAUGUAUGCACAAGCUAAUAUGCUUAUCAGAAAAUUUGGUAUGUGUUCAUCUUCUGUGAAAAUAACACUUGCUGCUUCUUGCUACAAAAGAAGCGGCAUUCAAUUAUGGUAUGAGGCUACAACUCAAAGUGCCUAGAUGGAGUAGCGCAAGCCUUCCGUUUGUGAAUGUUGAUGUGCCAACUUGUCCUGCUGUUCUCAGAAACCUUAUGUAUAGAUGUAUGUGUAGACUACUGUGUCUUGCAACAAGUAAGGGAUAAUGGACCACGUUACACUGUAAACCCGAACAGUACUACUAACUCAAAAGUAUUGUGAAACAACAAACAAAAUCCGCUAUCAGGUCAACCCAACUUUAAGUUACUAAGUGUUCCGAACGAGGAAUGCAGUUAUAAUUUCGUGCUACUUAAAUUGUCUGAGCGAUCAUCACGACCUUACUCAAAACCUUUGAAUGCACGGAGGCGUGCAACGUAAUGACGUCAUUGCGCCAUUACGUUGGCGGCACCGACCGAACGAGGCAAAAAUCAAACCAACAUGGCGGUCGUGAAGCGAGAGGAGUGCAUCGGCUGCUGAAGUUAAGAAAACUUGAUCAAACACCUGAGACCAGAGAAGAGCACUGAGCAGUGAAUGGCACAGAACCUCUGGUAAACAUCUAUCUUGAAAGACACUGAAGAUGACUUUUGUUUGAGUAAUGGAGUGGAAGUGCAAAUUGUGUAUUGUGUCUGCAGACACCCAGGCAGUUAUUCCGGCACUAUCGCUUGAAACACAGCCAUUACUCUAGAGUUAGCCCUCUACCAUGUCUCCAUGACUCUUGUAUUUGUACAUUUCUGUCCUUUAAUGCCUUGAAAAUUCAUUUGUCACGGUUUCACAGAGAUGUGUGUAGACCCAGUGCAAGUCACACAGCACAAGCAGAAAGGGCAGCUUUUACCUGUUCUGUGUGUAACUUGAAACAGCCCUUCUCACAAGAAACAUUGUUCACUCAUUUAAGGGGCCAUUUAAAAAAACGUGAGACAAUAACAUGCCCAUUUAAAAACUGUAACUACAGCACUAAUGUGUAUUCUUCUUUUAAUACACACAAAAGUAGGAUACAUGCAAAUAGUUCAGACUUUAGUGAUGAGAUAGUUUCAACAGAAAAUGCUACUGUAAAUGCUGCUGACCUUGAUUAUGAAGAUAAUUUCCUUUCCCAGCAUGCAGACUCAUUUGAUAAUCCUGAGGAUGACAGUGUAUGUGACUCCAGUCAGUUGAGAGCCCAGUUGCGCCAUAAUCUCUCCUCAUUAUUCCUUAAGAUGCAAACUGUUCUCCACGUUUCUGACAUGGCAACUCAGGAAAUAGUUGAUCAUCUCAGUCAGAUAUUUUCCUUGUCUCAGCCUCUCAUCAGGGAUACUGUAAAGGAGACACUACAGAGGCAUGAUAUCUCUAUUACUGAAGCUACACUGAAUGAUUUAGUAAAUGAGGUUAUGAACACAAAUAUUUUUGUCAGUGCCACAACUAAAGGGGAGGAGAUGUCAACCAAAAAACGAAGAAAAACAUUUGUUGAAAAAAAUUUCCCUGUUGUGAAGCCAGUGCAGUAUGAGUUGGAGCCUGGAUGCAGAGUAGCCUAUGUCCCUAUUCUCCAGGUGAUCCAGGAAAUGUUUAAACACACAGACAUCCUCGAAAGAAUAAAGGAAACAAAGGUGUCACAAAAAGGCCAUUACACGAGCCACCAAGAUGGUUUAUAUUUUCAAAAGAAUAAUUUGUUGUCUUCCUUAGAACUCUCACUGCCAAUUGUAUUGUACAUUGAUGAUAUUGAAAUUGCUAAUCCUUUAGGCACUUCAAGAAAAAUUCACAAACUGUGCUCAGUUUACUGGGUGCUUGCAGAUCUUCCACUUAAAUACAGAUCAGCGCUGCAUGUUAUUCAGCUAGCAGCCAUUUGUAAGGUCCCUGAUGUCCAGAAGUAUGGAUACAAAACAGUUCUCCGUCCUUUGUUACAAGACCUUUGCACUCUUGAACAAGACGGUGUGUUCAUCGAGUCUCUUGGCCAGUCAGUUCAAGGUACUGUUCUUUGUGUUGUGUCUGACAACCUGGCAGCACACGCAUUAGCAGGCUUCAUGCAAUCCUUCCGUGCAGGACACAUUUGUCGUUUUUGCAAUGCCACACGAGACCAGAUUCUGUCUCAUGAAGUUGGAGACGGUGAAUUUUGUCUGAGGACCAAAGCUAGUCAUGACCGUAAUUUGCUGACUGUUAUGCAAGGGGAUCAGAGUCACAGUGUAGUUGGUGUCAAAGGGGAUUGUGUCUUGAAUGAGAGUUUACAGCAUUUUCACACAACCACUGGCUUCCCACCAGAUAUUUUACAUGACCUUUUUGAGGGCAUUGUGCCGGUAGAAUUGGCCCUCUGCAUUCAGGAGAUGAUAAGGCUUAAAUACUUAACUCUCGAGGGACUAAACAGAAAAAUCAUGUCAUUCCAAUACGAAAAAUCGGAUAAAGUUAACAGAUCACGGCCAAUUUCAAAGACCUUUGCCAGAAAGCGGUCAAUUGGUGGUAAUGGUCAUGAGAACAGCACAUUGUUGCGACUACUGCCAUUGAUGAUAGGCCAUACAGUUCCUGAUGGAGAUGGGGCGUGGACUAUAUUGAUGGAUUUAAAAGAUAUUGUCGAACUAGUCCUGUCCCCAACAUUUGAUGAUGAAUCUAUUGACUAUUUGAAGACCAAGAUUCAGGAUCACAGACGACUGCUUCAGGAGGUUUUCCCUGAGUUCAGACUGCUUCCUAAGCAUCACUAUUUAGAGCACUACCCGGAUCUCAUACGUUGUUUUGGACCCCUUGUCCAUUUGUGGACUAUGAGAUUUGAAGGAAAGCAUAGGUUUUUCAAGCAUGUAAUACACGAUACACAAAACUUUAAGAAUGUGGUGAAAACCCUAGCAACACGGCAUCAGCACAUGGUAGCAUACUACCUCAGUGCACCCUCAUUCUUUAAACCACACCAGCAGGCAUCAAAUGUCUCUUCAGUCUUGGUCUCAGUCCUUCCAGAUGUUGCUCAACAGUACAUUAGACAAAAAACAGACAGCAGUGUCAUAUACAGCACAUCAAACAUCACUUUGGAUGGCACCAUGUAUGAUGUUGGGAGGUUUGUAUCUGUGGGACAAGAGGGAGGACUGCCUCAGUUUAGCAGGAUUGAGCAGAUCCUACUUGUUAACAGUGAUGUAAUGUUUCUAUGCAGGGAACACAAGUCAUGUUACAUUGAACACUUGAGAUCGUACAAACUGUACCCUGGAAAUUUAACAGUCAACAACAUAUUAGAGCUUAAUGACAGCUUACCGCUCUCAGCGUACCAUGUUGAAGGACAACUUCUGUUGACACCCAAGCGCUUCAUACAGCUGAACAGAAAGUAAUUCAUACCAAAACAGUGAGUUGAUUUUGAGAUGAAAGGAAAUGUCUAAAUUCUUUCAUUUUAAGUUUUUGACUGUGUAAAUGAAUGUGUAAAGAUGAUUUUUUUAGACUAAGUUUUGUUGUUUCAUUCCCUACAAAAUUUGAUAACUGUUCUCUCUCUUGAUUUUCAGCUGAUGGCCAUGCCCCCAAAGUACCUUCUUCGUGUCUACAUAGCUACUGAUGUGGCUGUGAAAGUGACUUUGAAUGAGAGGCCAACAUCAGUUGAUGAGCUCAUCGGCAUCUUGAAAGACAAAGCUAAGCCAAGGCUGGACUUUGAAUUCACGUUACAGUAUGAGGAUCCGGACUUCGGAGGAGAGCUCUGCUGUUUGGUUGAUGUAGAAGACCUGCCAGAGAAGGGCACGCUUAGAGUUGUUAGAUCAGAAAGUGACCUAAGUUCAUGUGGUAGUUCAGACACAGAUAUCCUGCCUCACGUGCCUGUAAGCCAACGGCAAAAAACAUGGCCUGAUGUUUUCCCUGUCCCAACUUUUUCGUAUGAAGUUGAACAUGUCUUGCAAGAGGGGAACAGUGUUUUUGAGAGCUCUGGAAAGACUCUAAAAUUAAGCAGAGCACAAAAACACAACAUUAUAGAGAACAUGGCCUCCUUAAUGUACUCUUUUAAACCGUACCCUAGCGACAGGGAUGUAGGCAUGGCAGCAGACGCCCUGAUUAACGCUCACCCAUGUCUGAAAGAGCUGGGGUCUGCGAGUGGGUGGUACGGAUGGAAAAUUAGCCUGAAAUUUAAAAUGGGAAAUUACCGUACUAGGCUGGCAAGAGCUGGAUGCAAGGAGGUGUCCGUAAAUACAGGGAAAAGAAGCAGGAAUAAUCCAGAGAAAGCACAUCCCCACUCGAACAUUAAAAAAGCCAGAAGGGCUGAAGUAAACUUUCUCCCAAACUUCCCAAGAGGACAAAACGAGGACAGUUUGGAGGAAAUGAGAAUAGAGAUGAAAGCUGAAGUUGAUAGAGCCAACAGAAACCUACAAUCAAUAGAGAAACUCAUGCAGACAACCUUUGCACUUCGUCGUCAGGAAAUUGUUCAGGGAGACCCAUUGGUGAAGGACUUUCUGGAGAGAUGGCCUGCCCUUCAGGUCCAAUCACAGGUCUGUGCUGAGUUCCACAGGAUCACCAAUAUAAAUUUACGGAACCAGUUUUAUUGUGAACUAGAUCGGCACAUUCCACAGCUCAUAGAACUUUACAGACAGAAGGCAGCUCGUACUGGAAGGGUGGCAGGAGCACUGCGAGACAUCCUACAGUAUUAUGAAACAGGUGAGUUGAAAAAAAGCUAAAAUGGACUUUGUCUAAAUUUUAUCCACAUGGGACAGCUGGCUGCCAGGAUUGUCAGCAUUUACUACCACUUCAUUACUAUAUACUACUACUAUACAAGGGGCAGUCCUUCACUUUUAACUUUAAAUCAAUUAGUUAUCCUGUAACAUGUACAUAUUUAGUAAAGUAACUCAUACUUUGUCGGCAGCAAAGGGCCCCUGUUUUUUUUCUCAUGUGUCUUUGUUUAUCCACCCAGGAUGUGAAGGAUAUCAACAUGAAACGCACUGUGGCCCUUCGUGCUCUCUCAGUAUACCUGCGGGAAGAGGACACACAGUUUUUCAAGACUUGGAACACUGAGGAAUCAGAGGAGCCAGACAUCGAGGACACACCCAUUGGUAUUGUCACGAUGAUCAGAGAAAGAAGUGCAUCUCCCGUUCACUUCAGUCCCGUAUCCACAGCCAUUGUGGUGGAAGAUGAAUUCAUCAUGAGGGACAUUGCCACGUUUGCCGAUGCAUAUGUGUUACUGUUUGGGCUGGUGUAUGUGUUACAUCUCGACUACCCAAAGAAGCUUGUUGGCACCUUCACUUUCAUACAAAAGGUUCUAAUGGGGUUGGAUGACGGUGCACCCCUGAAACCUGCUCUGCUCUCUUUGAAAAAUGACCUGCUUACAGUGUAGACGUUACCUGUAUGAUGCAUGUUUGUUGUUACAUUGAUUUAUGUUCCUUUUUGGUUAUUUAUUUGAUUUAUUUUUUAUUCAUGUUCAAUGACUUGAUAUCUGAU